rnacentral:rRNA from 1 species
GAUGAACGCUGGCGGCGUGCCUAAUACAUGCAAGUCGAGCGAACAGACGAGGCGCUUGCUCCUCUGUCGUUAGCGGCGGACGGGUGAGUAACACGUGGAUAAUCUACCUAUAAGACUGAGAUCACUUCGGGAAACCGGCGCUAAUACCGGAUAAUAUACUGAACCGCAUGGUUCAAUAGUAAAAGACGGCUGUUCUGUCUCUUCUCGCUGGUUCUCCGCCGCAUGAGAUAGUUGGGAAGGAAACGGGUUACCACGGCAACGAUGCGUAGCCGAAGUGAGAGAGGGGUCGGCGGCACUGGAGCGGGAACGGGGACCAGACUACUACGGGAGGCAGCAGUAGGGAAUGUUACGCAGAAGGCGGGAGCAUGACGGAGCGGGGCCGCGUGAGUGAUAAAGAUGUUCGGAUCGUAAAACUCUGUUAUGAGGGAUAAACAGAUGUGUAAGUAGAUAUGCACGGAGUGACGGUACCUAGUCAGAAAGCCACGGCUAACUACGUG